CCCCAUCGAAACUGCACAACAACUUUGCAAUCUAGGCACUGAAAUCAUGAAAAUCAUGUCACGCUGGCACAACCAAAACAAGGCUCUCCAGCAGUGUGUCACUACACUUCGUUCAGAGCUGCAGGACACAAAAAAAAACUCUCAGAAGCUCUAACUUCUGCAGAAAUCAAUGCUGCUGCCCAAUACUUUUUCAAAGAUGAACAAUGUGACAUGUCCACACAGACAGAGCCUGUCCCUUCAACACUACCUGAACACAUACCUGAGAAUAACAGCAAACUAGAAAUACAACUUGCAACAAAGUCUUCUCCAAAACCAAAUAAAGAUCUACAGAAUGCUUAACCAUACAAACAUUAUAUUGUGACUACACUUUUAAUGCUACACUGUAUUUAACUUUUGAAACUACAAAAUUUUUAUCCUUCCAUUUACUCUUAAACCACAUUAUUUUCUUUUAGCUCUUCUUUAUUAAACUUUUUAACAUACAAUACAGCAUACUAUAUGCAUAUUGCACCUUUAUAAUUUAUAAUUGUUUGUAUUCUUAUUCUUUGUAUUUUAUACAAUAAAAAUGUUUCUCAGACUUACAAUUUUCAUUAAAAUACAAAAAUAUAACAAUCUUCACUACCACAAAACAAUUAUAU